UACGUAGGGGGCUAGCGUUGUCCGGAAUCAUUGGGCGUAAAGAGCGCGUAGGCGGCUAGAUAAGUCCGGUGUGAAAGUCACAGGCUCAACCUGUGAAUGCCGCUGGAAACUGUCUGGCUAGAGUCCGGAAGGGGCGAGUGGAAUUCCUGGUGUAGCGGUGAAAUGCGCAGAUAUCAGGAGGAACACCAAUGGCGAAGGCAGCUCGCUGGGACGGUACUGACGCUGAGGAGCGAAAGCGUGGGGAGCAAACAGG
rnacentral:rRNA from 1 species